rnacentral:rRNA from 1 species
AUUGAACGCUGGCGGCAUGCCUUACACAUGCAAGUCGAACGGCAGCACGGGUGCUUGCACCUGGUGGCGAGUGGCGAACGGGUGAGUAAUACAUCGGAACGUACCUUAUCGUGGGGGAUAACGCAGCGAAAGUUGCGCUAAUACCGCAUACGCCCUGAGGGGGAAAGCGGGGGGACCGUAAGGCCUCGCGCGAUUAGAGCGGCCGAUGUCUGAUUAGCUUGUUGGUGAGGUAAAGCUCACCAAGGCGAUGAUCAGUAGCUGGUCUGAGAGGACGAUCAGCCACACUGGGACUGAGACACGGCCCAGACUCCUACGGGAGGCAGCAGUGGGGAAUUUUGGACAAUGGGGGCAACCCUGAUCCAGCAAUGCCGCGUGAGUGAAGAAGGCCU